UUUACUUUGUUUUACUUUGGUUUAAUUUGGUUUACAUUGGUUUAAUUUGUUCUUCUUUUACUAUUUUUUUUACUGAAUCAUCAUUAUUGUUCUACCACUCGAAUCACUGCAUUGCUGUUGCUAAAUGACCAAUAGACCAACAGAUCCUUGCAUAGAAACAAAAAAAGCCCUUGCUUUUCAGUAUUACCAAAGGGAAAUGUAUAGUCAGAACUGCAAGAAAACUGCCUUGUGAUCCGGCUUUUGUCACAUUUUAGUUUACAAUACAUGAGCAUAAAGUAGCUACUCAACUACCUCGAACAUAAGAGAAUCAUUUACCUUUCUGCAUAUAACCUAAUUAAAACCAUAUCAGAUCCAGCAAAACUGAUUUUCAUCUCUCCUCAGUAGAUAUAGGAGUAUAUAUUAAUAUUUCUACUUCAUGACUAGAUAGGGGACUAAAUUAAAAUUCUCUACUCAGUUCUCAGUUGUAAGGCCCACAGUUGCACAUGGGUAGGAGGGUAGUUGCACGUGCACAGAGUUGGUGGUCACAACUCUGCUUUCUUGCCCUUCUCCUUAACAUGGAGCUAUUUAAUCUUAUUUAUUUAUUUAUUUAUUUAGAAAUAGGGUCUGGCUCUGUCACCUUGACUGGAGUACAGUGGCACAAUCAUGGCUCACUGCAGCCUAGAACUCCUGGGCUCAAGUGAUGUUCCCACCUUAGCCUCCCGAGUAGCUGGGACUAUAGACACACACAACCAUGCUCUGCCAAUUUUGAAAUUUUUUGUAGAAAUGAGGUCUCCCUAUGUUGCCCAGGCUGGUCUUGAACUCCUGGCCUCAAGCAGUCCUCCCACCUCAGCCUGCCAAGUGCUAGGAUUACAGGCAAGAGCCACAGCGCCAGGCUGGAACUAUGUAAGAUAGCACUUAGCCCUGCAUGUACGUGUUACUAACAAUGGUUGUGUAGAUCACUCCUCCAAAGGGAAAGUCUCUCUAGAUGGGUUUUUGCCCCAAUUAAGCAAUAGCUUCCUCCAAACGGUGCUCACCUAUCCAUUGACUGGGAUAUUUGAAGACAAAGUGAGUCUUCACUCAUCGUCACCAUUCCCUAUGUCCCCUUUCCCUGGGAGCACACACACUUAGGAAGGCAGUGCUGCUUCCUCCACAGCCGGCCAGGAUUUGUGAAAUGUCUCUCAAGGAAAUGUGCUCUCUUCCAUGCUCAGAGACGCCACGUGGUCACAGUGCAGUCUUCAUGCAGUUGUAGCUUAGACUUCCAGAUUCAAAGGUCAGAAACCAGCUUGGAAUUUUCCUGGUCCUAACUCAAACCUGGCAUAAGUCAAAGUUGAAAUCCAACAGGUUCCAAAGGAAAUCAGAUUAAACACAUGUGCUGCUUGGUCAUGCAAGGACCCUGGAGUAGAGAAGUAGGUAUUGCCGUCUUGGUCAUGAAAGCCACAACAUCACCUGCAAGAGGACAGGCACUUAGUUCUAUUCACUGCUGUGCCCUCAACUCCUGGAAUAAGACCUGGUACAGUGUGAUCAGAAAAUAUUUAUUGAGUGUCAGGUACAGUGGCUCAUGCCUGUAAUCCUAACACAUUGGAAGACCAAGGUGGGAGGAUCACUUGAGCCCAGGAGUUUGAGACCAGCCUGGGUGACACAGGGAGACCCUAUCUCUAUAAAAAAUAAACUUAAAAAAAAUUGGGCGGGGCACAAUGGCUCACGCCUGUAAUCCCAGCUCUUUGGGAAACUGAAGCAGAUGGAUCAUCAGAGGUCAGGAGUUCGAGACCAGCCUGGCCAACAUGGUGAAACCCCCAUCUCUACUAAAAAUACAAAAAUUAGCCGGGCGUGGUGGUGGGCACCUGUAAUCCCAGCUACUCAGGAGGCUGAGGUAGGAGAAUCACUUGAACCCAAGAGGUGGAGGUUGCAGUGAGGCGAGAUUGCACCACUGCACUCCAGCCUGGGCGACAGAGUGAGACUUGGUCUACACGCUUUGUAAUCUAAAACAUUCUCUACCAAUACCUCAAUCAGUGAAUUCUUGCUUUAUUGAUACAUUCUAGUAUUCAGUCGUGAUUUUAAUAUGCUAUUUUGGUACUUUCUGCUUUCAGUUUUCAUUGCUGUGGGUAUUGCCUUAAACAGAAACAAAAAACUAAAACAAUUUUACAACCAUCCAAAAGAGGCUUGGAAACUUUUUUUUGGCUAGAUAUCCAUAGCACAAUUUAAUUCAGUAAACAUAAACAGUUAAAAUUAUUCCAGUACACAACCAUGUUUUAAAAAAGAGCUUACACCCAAUUUUGGCAACAACACCCAGGAAAUAAGCAUUCUUUUACAUUUGGUUCAAACUUUCUGAAUGGCAGUUGUGCAACACUUGUUGUGAAAAACUUUAGAAUAUUAUUAACAUGUUAAUCCCAUAUUUCCAUUUCUGUGAAUUCAUCCAAAAGAAAUAACCAUGGAUAUGGGUAGAGACAGAGCCAUAUGGAAUGCACACCGCAGUGGAGAACACAUGGCCCAGCUCUGCCAUCAAGGAAAAGGAACAUGAAUGGAGCUGGAGGCCAUCAUCCUUAGUAAACUAACACAGGAGCAGAAAACCAAAUACCACAUGUUCUCACUUGUAAGUGGGAGCUAAAUGAUGAGAACACAUGGACACAAAGAGGGGAACAACAGACACUGAAGCCUCCUUGAGGGAGGAGGGUAAGAGGAAGGAGAAGAUCAGAAAAGAUAACUACCAGGUACUAUGGUAGCUUAGUACCUGGGUGAUGAAAUAAUCUGUACACCCAACCCCCAUGACACAAGUUUACCUAUGUAACAAACCUGCACAUGUAUCCCUGAAACUAAAAGUUUUUUAAAAAGUUAUUUAAUAUAUAUAUAUUUUUUUUUUUUUUUUUUUUUUUUGAGAUGGAGUUUUGCUCUUGUUGCCCAGGCUGGAGUGCGGUGGUGCAAUCUCGGCUCACCACAACCUCCACCUCCCAGGUUCAAGCGAUUCCCCUGCCUCAGCCUCCCUAGUAGCUGGGAUUAUAGGCUUGUGCCACCACGCCCAGCUAAUUUUGUAUUUUUUUUAGUAGAGACGGGGUUUCUCCAUGUUGGUCAGGCUGGUCUCGAACUCCCGACCUCAGGUGAUCCACCCGCCUCGGCCUCCCAAAGUGCUAGGAUUACAGGCAUGAGCCACUGCACCCGGCAAAAAGUUAUUUAAUAUUAAUGGGACAAUACUCAUUGCAAGAAUCAAACUUCAAUUGCUAGCAUAAGUAAAUGACAGGCAGGAGAUAUUGAAAAUGCAAUCUUAUAGACAUUCAAGGAGAGGACGCAGGACAUUUCUGUGUCAUAAAUGUACUAUGGAAAAUAAAAAUGAGAAAAAUUGAAAUAAAAUACAAGAAAAGGUUAUGAUGAUAAAUUUCAUAUUAUUUUACCACAAUAAAAAAAAUUUUAAUUAUAAA